CUUAAAGGCAAGGCACGCAGCUAAAGCGACCUUUCCCUUAGAGUCGCUAUGGAGGGCUGCUGCAGUCCCAGGAACCUGAGGUCCCCGAAGGCCGGGCCCCCGCUCCCCGGACCCGCCGUGGGGAGCGCGCCAACCCCGGAGAAGUGGUCGCUGAAACCUCGACAGGGUGAUUGAACAUCACCGCCAGAACUUGGCCCUUAACACGCGUCGCCCUCCAUGUGCCAGCCGGGAGCAGGAUCCCUCCCUAAGGUUGCCAGUUAGCGUGCGAUCGUAGCAGCUGAGGAUUCGAGCGAUGAGUGGCCUGCCUUGAGGGGUGCCUGAAUUGCCCCAGGUUUUGAGUGCUGGGUUGUCGAAAAUCAGUGAUCAGCAGUGUGGAGUUGAAGCCGGUGGUGCCACAGCUCAGCCCAAGUAGAGGCUAUCUUCCCAGAGAAUGGUCAGCCAUGUGAGGACCAGUGACCACCAUCAGCUUGGACUGAAAACCUAGACUUCAGUAGUUGGUGUGGAAACAGUACUUACCUGAGGCUGAGAUUCAGAGCCCAUUCCGUUACCAGCAGUAGAACCAACAAAUGUGUUUUUCUAAGAUAGGUCACUGUUGGUUUUCUAGUGUUACAAAUACAUUUCUAGUUCUCCCUUGCCCAAAGAGCUUUCUGCGCUUUUUAAUUUUGUAUAAAUUCUGUUGGGUGAGGGUCUGAGUUCUUAAGCUUAAAGCUUAUUUCUUCCUGAAAUUAGCAUUUCCAUGCAAUUACAAUAAACCAGUACUACAAUAAA